rnacentral:rRNA from 1 species
CCCUUAGAUGUUCUGGGCGGCCCGCGCACUACAAUGGCGCGUUCAUCGAGAACCAAGGUUGAAUUAUUCGAGGUAUUCUUGCAAAACGCGUCUUGAUUGGGAUAGAUCCUUGUAAUUGUUGGUCUUGAACGAGGAAUUCCUUGUAAGCGUGGUUUAUCAUCCCACGUUGAAUGCGUCCCUGCCCUUUGUACACACCGCCCGUCGCUCCUACCGAUGAAUUGUCCGGUGAAGUUCGUGGAGAGCUGUUUCACUGAGAUGUGCUUAAAGCGAGAUGAACCUAGCGGUUUAGAGGAAGGAGAAGUCGUAACA